rnacentral:rRNA from 1 species
AAAACGACUCUCGGCAACGGAUAUCUCGGCUCUCGCAUCGAUGAAGAACGUAGCGAAAUGCGAUACUUGGUGUGAAUUGCAGAAUCCCGUGAACCAUCGAGUCUUUGAACGCAAGUUGCGCCCGAAGCCUUUCGGCCGAGGGCACGCCUGCCUGGGUGUCAUGCA